CCUACGGGAGGCAGCAGUGAGGAAUAUUGGUCAAUGGCCGAGAGGCUGAACCAGCCAAGUCGCGUGAGGGAAGACGGCCCUACGGGUUGUAAACCUCUUUUGUCGGGGAGCAAAGCGAACAACGUGGGGGUCAUUGAGAGUACCCGAAGAAAAAGCAUCGGCUAACUCCGUGCCAGCAGCCGCGGUAAUACGGAGGAUGCGAGCGGUAUCCGGAUUUAUUGGGGGUAAAGGGUGCGCAGGCGGAGGUGCAAGUCAGCGGUCAAAUUGCGGGGCUCAACCCCGUACUGCCGUUGAAACUGCAUCCCUUGCGUGCGCGAUAAGUAUGCGGAAUGCGUGGUGUAGCGGUGAACUGCAUAGAUAUCACGCAGAACUCCGAUUGCGAAGGCAGCAUACCGGCGCGCAACUGACGCUCAUGCACGAACGCGUGGGUAUCGAACAGGAUUAGAUACCCCUGUAGUC
rnacentral:rRNA from 1 species